GACGAACGCUGGCGGCGUGCCUAAUACAUGCAAGUUGAGCGCUGAAGGUUGGUACUUGUACCAACUGGAUGAGCAGCGAACGGGUGAGUAACGCGUGGGGAAUCUGCCUUUGAGCGGGGGACAACAUUUGGAAACGAAUGCUAAUACCGCAUAAAAACUUUAAACACAAGUUUUAAGUUUGAAAGAUGCAAUUGCAUCACUCAAAGAUGAUCCCGCGUUGUAUUAGCUAGUUGGUGAGGUAAAGGCUCACCAAGGCGAUGAUACAUAGCCGACCUGAGAGGGUGAUCGGCCACAUUGGGACUGAGACACGGCCCAAACUCCUACGGGGGGCAGCAGUAGGGAAUCUUCGGCAAUGGACGAAAGUCUGAACGAGCAACGCCGCGUGAGUGAAGAAGGGUUUCGGAUCGUAAAACUCUGUUGGUAGAGAAGAACGUUGGUGAGAGUGGAAAGCUCAUCAAGUGACGGUAACUACCCAGAAAGGGACGGCUAACUACGUG
rnacentral:rRNA from 1 species